GUACUGAUGAAGAGUCCCAAACUAGGACGAAACAGCCGUCUAGUAC
rnacentral:hammerhead_ribozyme from 1 species